rnacentral:tRNA from 1 species
GGGGGAUUAGCUCAGUUGGGAGAGCGCUUGAAUGGCAUUCAAGAGGUCAGGGGUUCAAAUCCCCUAUCCUCCACCA